rnacentral:rRNA from 1 species
GAGGAGAAACUGGAGGUGGGCUAAGAGCAGCUAGCUUUCUGUAGGGGCUAAGGGGUGGGUGGGUGGCUCGGGAUUGGGAUUGGGGCCGAUGGCUUCUACGGCCGCUGCCGCCCCGCGCAAGCGUACGGCCGCUUGUUGGCGCACGUGUCGUCGCGCCGCGACGUCUGCGUGCCGUAGACCGUCUCGCGGUAGCCGAUGCUGGGGAUGCGGGGGCUCUUGUUGUUCGUCGUCCGGGGGAGGAGGAGGCAGAGGCGGUUGCGGCGUCGGCGCCGUCGGUUGCGGCGGCGGCUUCGGCGGCGCGGAGGGAGGAGCCUGGGGCCCCGGAGCAGCCUCUUGCGGAUGUGGUCGAAGGUCCCGGAGGAGCGCGAGCGGGCGCAGUGGCCUAGGUUGAGGCUGCUCUGGGCCCCGCGGACGUUCUUCACGCCGGCACAACCGGUAGAGUGAAAGGUCACGGCGUUGAAGGAAAGACAGUUCCUCGAACGGUACCUGCUGCUGUAGGUUCGACCGUACGACAGGCGGCGCGUCCGGUUCCGGUUCAAGCUCCUCUAGUGCUUCUUUCGGAGACCACGGUCUCUGCGACUGCUCCUCCCAAGACUGCUCCUUCUACUCCUACUCUAACUGUCGCUAAGGAGACUAAGACUAUAACUAGGGCUCGACCUCUUCUAUUAACGACUUGCCCUCGCACGGUUCUCGGCACCUCCCUUCGCCAGUCCCCUCCUCCUGUUCUUCUGUUCGGCGGUAUUCUCGUUCUCGUCCCCUUCUAGCUUCGUGUCCUCCUCGUCCUUCUCACUGUCACUCCUGCUAAGCCUCCUCCUCUCUUGGUUCCUGUUCUUCUUCUUAUCCGCCUUCUUCGUGUCUAGGAGUCUACUCCUAUCGCUCUCACUGAGACUGUCCUUCUCCGUGUACUUCUCAUCCUUUCUAUCCUUCUCCGCCUCCUGCGUGGCGGCCUUCCUACUGAGUAGUCUCCUACUACUUAGACCUCCCCUUCUCUCCUCCGUAGUGGCGGUGGUAUUCUCCGCAGUAGUGGCCUCCCUACGUAGACCAUCACUGUCACUACCCUCGCUUAGGGGUGUACUUUCCUUCGCUAGGUCAUUUGUCUUCUCGGUGUUCUCCAGUCUUUCGGUACCUAACCCACUCCUACUCGCUGUAACAGGCGUCCCCCGUUCAGCGAGACCUCUCUUCUCGUCCCUCGUAUUCUCCCCGAUUUCUCCUCGCGACUUCGCAUUACCUCGGACAUUUCGUCCUUCAAUAUAGUUCUAACCGGAACAUAUUUCGAGAAGUCAUUAGUCCACCAUUUUCCGAUAACCCACCCUAUUGAAUACGUCCAAAUACGUCUUGAGUCUACAAAGAUACGAACAUAAAGUCAAAAGGACGUUUAAGUACACGGUAUCUGUGCAUCAUUUUAGCCAUGACUGUGUAUAUAAACCAGUUGUAAAGAUUUUCAGACUAAACUACAGUCGACUAAAUAACAACGUCUGUACCAUCGAGAGAUAUAUUAACCAAAACUCAACUUCUACUACUAGAUAUGAUGAGGGAAACAAAGAUUUAUAUUCAGAAAAAUCUCUAAGGUUGUACCUGAUGUAUGCCUCGUUUUACUCACUUAGAUGUGAGAUUUUAUGAGGGAGGCAAGGUUUUAUCUACUGGGUUGAAACAUGAUCUGAAUUAUGCUUCAACUCAGUUGAUAAAACCUUGCCUCCCACAUACAUCGGGACACGCAAGCCAAAUAAGCCAAAUGUACCAAGCCAAAUAUGCCAAAAAGCCAUACAUGCCAUAAUUAUGAAGCCAUUUAUGCCAAGCCA